rnacentral:rRNA from 1 species
AAGUCGAACGGUAACAUUGGUGCUUGCACCAGAUGACGAGUGGCGCACGGGUGAGUAACGCGUAUGCAAUCUACCUUUUACUAGAGUAUAGCCCAGAGAAAUUUGGAUUAAUCCUCUAUAAUAUCUUUAAGUUUCAUGACUUAUUGAUUAAAGUUUUAACGGUAAAAGAUGAGCAUGCGUCCUAUUAGUUUGUAGGUGAGGUAACGGCUCACCUAGACUACGAUAGGUAGGGGCCCUGAGAGGGGGAUCCCCCACACUGGUACUGAGACACGGACCAGACUCC